AAGAAGCCAGACGGGGUUUGUAGGAUUACAUUACAAGCCGGUGUCGGUAAAAAGGUUAAUAAAAUAAAUAGAACAAACGAAGUACGUUCUCAAAUUGUACAUGUAUGCUAAUAUUAUGUUUGAAAGCUCACUGGAGACGGUAACUGGACUAAGUAUGCAGUAGAUAGAAGUGAAGCCAUUUGUCUUGAAACCAUAGAAAAGAAUACAACUUUGCAAGAGGAAUAUCCAGAAAUAAGCAAUAUUAUCAGAAACAAUACCUGUCCAUUGAACUGUUCGGAACGUGGAUCCUGCACAAACGGGAAAUGCGAAUGUGAGGAGGGUUUCGCCUCAGAGGAUUGCUCGUUUGACCUAAACACGCCUCUACAAAUAUAUGGCCUGGACAAUGACGGACUUUGUGAUAUCGACGAAGGCUGUGGUUUCGUAGUUGUAGAGGGAUUAGAAUUUCCUUCUGAUAGAAACUACACUUGCCAAUUCAGUGGUCGUAUGACAAUGGUGGGAGAGAUAUACCAGACACUGGAGGUGUUUAAUGUAUCAGCGGAUCAUCAGAGCAUUUUCGAGAUUAUAUG